rnacentral:misc_RNA from 1 species
UUUUUAGUUUUUUAAAGCAUUGUACGUAAAUUAUUGACCAUUGUACAUAAUAUCAUUGUAUUAUUUUCAUCUUGUUUAAAAUCAUUGUGAAUAAUCAUCAGGAUUGUAUAGGGUCAGUAAUCCCUAUUUUAUGUAGUUUAAUUCAUCCACACUUCUUUUACAGCAUACCAAAUCUUAUUAAUGUUGGCGACAUUCAUCUGUGAUAAUCAAUGGAACUACUGUGCUGUUUAGAUUUAUUGAAGUGGAUGAAAGAACGUCGACCUCUUCAUGAUCCUGAUAAAUUGGAGGGCAGAAUGUUGGAAAGAGGAGAGAUAAGUUGCCAAGAGUUCGCCGAAAGUUCUAAAGAGCAUUUUCAAGGAAUUCUGCUGUGUAUUACACUUGUAUUCACUUUGAGAUCUGAAAGCCUCUUAGUCUGUCAGCUUUUGCUUCUUCAGAUAUCUGCAGGAUGGUGUCAUAAGAGAGUAGAUGUUUCAGAGGCAGCACAAAGUAACUUUCAACAGUUCGAAAGACCAUUUGAAUCCAUUGUUUGGUAUGUAGAUACGAUGGUUAAAGUCAAGAAAUGGCUCAUUUGCCUUUUGAAUAUGCGGACUGCGUAUAUGGAUAUCAAAGACUAUGUAUAUGGCCUUAAUUGGGUUGAGAAAGUGUUUCUUGUAAUGGCAGUGCAGAUAUUGAAAAAGUUGGAAUUUUUUCAUCUGGAGUCAACAAAUAAAAUUGAUAGUUUGAACUGCUUCAACAGAUUUUUAAACAGGCUUUUUCUUGAUGCUGCAGAGUGCACGUUGUCUUGAAUUGCUGAUGCUUAUUUUCCUGAAGAUGAAUUGCUGCAUCAACUACUGGCUUAUGUUUCUUGAUUGCCAUCAAGAGAACUUCAAAAACAAAAUGUUUGGAUAGCUUUCGAAAAUGAGUGCCUUUAGGACAGACUGCAGAAUACUAUUUUGUUAUAAGAAAAUUAAAGAAUGUAUGACACGUUAAAUGUCUAAAAGAAGCCCCUUUCCACAGAGGCCUAUCCAUGUGACAAGAAUCAUUUUCACUAUUUUCCAUACUUUUGAAUAGUGAAAAUCAUGAAAAUAAGAAGUGAGAAAUGUGUCAAGAGAGAUAUUUUGAGGCUCAAAAGUGGAAAAUUCAUGUAAAUUUGUCUAGAAACUCCAAACUGCAGCAGAAUUUCAUCACAAUCAUCUUGUAAAACACGUUUAUUCCGCAUUAACUACCGUUAUAACUACUUGCAUUUUGUUCUGGGCUUUCUCUGGACUUUUAACCAUCAAUCACGGGUCUAUACAAGAUGCAUUUCGAAUAAGAGAAUAAUUUAUUGGACAGUUAGACAUUAAGUGUUGUUGAACUUCUUGUUUUAAUGCAAAACUUUCAGCUUGUGAAAUGUCCUUCUUGCGGCAUUUAUCAUUCAUUAACUGCUCAGCAAUGAAUCCCAAAUAAACUUUACUUUUAUCAUUA